CGAAGUCUGGUGCCAGCAGCCGCGGUAAUUCCAGCUCCAAUAGCGUAUAUUAAAGUUAGUUGUAGUUAAAAGCUCGUAGUUGAAUUCGGGGUUAGUAGGUUGGUCAUGCCUCUGGUAUGUACUGGUCUCACUGAUUCCUCCUUCCUGAUGAACCUUAAUGCCAUUAAUUUGGUGUUUUGGGGAAUUUGGACUGUUACUUUGAAAAAUUAGAGUGUUUAAAGCAAGCUAACGCUUGAAUACAUUAGCAUGGAAUAAUGAAAUAGGACGUUCGAUCCUAUUUUGUUGGUUUCUAGGAUUGACGUAAUGAUUAAUAGGGAUAGUUGGGGGCAUUAGUAUUCAAUUGUCAGAGGUGAAAUUCUUGGAUUUAUUGAAGACUAACUACUGCGAAAGCAUUUGCCAAGGAUGUUUUCAUUAAUCAAGAACGAAAGUUAGGGGGAUCGAAGACGAUCAGAUACCGUCGUAGUCUUAACCAUAAACUAUGCCGACUAGGGAUCGGAUGAUGUUAAUUUUUUAAUGACUCAUUCGGCGCCUUACG
rnacentral:rRNA from 1 species